rnacentral:rRNA from 1 species
AACGAACGCUGGCGGCGUGGAUUAGGCAUGCAAGUCGAACGCGAAAGAGGGGGUAACUCCUCGAGUAGAGUGGCGAACGGGUGAGUAACGCGUGAAGAACCUGCCUUCAACAGGGGGAUAACACUCCCAACGGGGUGCUAAAACCGCAUGAGACCACGGGGCUGCAUGGCCCAGGGGUCAAAGGUGGCCUCUACUUGUAAGCUACCGGUUGAAGAUGGCUUCGCGUCCCAUUAGCUAGUUGGCGGNGUAACGGACCACCAAGGCGACGAUGGGUAGCUGGUCUGAGAGGAUGGUCAGCCACACUGGGACUGAGAUACGGCCCAGACUCCUACGGGAGGCAGCAGUCGAGACGGNUUUGGCAAGUGGGGGAAACCCUGACCAAGCGACGCCGCGUGGAGGAUGAAGGCCCUUGGGUUGUAAACUUCCUUUUGUCGGGGAAGAAACGCGAUCAGGUGAACAAUCUGGUCGUUUGACGGGUACCCGGCGAAUAAGCUCCGGCUAACUCCGUGACAGCAGCCGCGGUAAU